rnacentral:rRNA from 1 species
GACGAACGCUGGCGGCGUGCUUAACACAUGCGAGUCGAACGGAAAGGCCUCUUUCGGGGGGUACUCGAGUGGCGAACGGGUGAGUAACACGUGAGUAACCUGCCCUUGACUUUGGGAUAACUUCAGGGAACUGGGGCUAAUACCGGAUAGGAGCUCCUGCUGCAUGGUGGGGGUUGGAAAGUUUCGGCGGUUGGGGAUGGACUCGCGGCUUAUCAGCUUGUUGGUGGGGUAGUGGCUUACCAAGGCUUUGACGGGUAGCCGGCCUGAGAGGGUGACCGGCCACAUUGGGACUGAGAUACGGCCCAGACUCCGACGGGAGGCAGCAGUGGGGAAUAUUGCACAAUGGGUGGAAGCCUGAUGCAGCAACGCCGUGUGCGGGAUGACGGCCUUCGGGUUGUAAACCGCUUUCGCUCAUGACGAAGCUUUGUGUGACGGUAGUGGGUAAAGAAGCACCGGCUAACUACGUG